AGGUGUUUCCCGUUAACUUAAACCCAAUUUUUUCAAAAUACCGUUAUUUCUUUCUACAACCUACGAAAGAACAAAGACUUUGGGGCUUUCUUUCCAACUUGGUCUGCGAUUCCUCACCAUAGCUUGUUCCGGCAAACAUCAAGUUGUUUCGGCGACGUACGUUCCUCACCGUAGGUUGUUCCGGCGAAACAGGGGUAUGCGAUUCUUACUGCGAGGGAAGAUUAUUGAACAAAAAACUUGGAAAGGUCUGUGAUUCUUUCGAAUGGUUUCGUUUUCCAGCGACGAAGGAGCUUUCCUCUUCUCAUGUGUUCGUUCUCCGACAAGGGAAGGUCUGCGAUUCUUCUCCGGUGAGGGUUUAUCGGAUGUCAUCACCCAGGUAUUCCCAUUCGUCAGAGAUGUUGUGUGAGACAUAUGUAUCAGAACUUCAAGUCAACUUUUUCAGGACAACUAUUUAAGAAACACUUUUGGUCAACAUCAGCAAGUACUCUCCUCCAGUUUAAGAAAGAAAUAGAAUCUAUCAAAGAGUUUAGUGAUGAAGCAUUUAGUUGAAUGAUGGAUGUUCCUACAAGAUUCUGGGUUAGGCAUGCAUUUGAUAUUAAUGCAAAGAGUCCUCAAAUCACCAACAACAUGACCAAGUCAUUCAACCACUGAAUAUAAGAUGUGAGGGACAAGCCUGUUAUAGUGAGAAAGCGAAAGGUUGAGAGUCAACAUGGAGGCACCAGCUCUCAGAUGAUGUCUAGGUCACAAUCAUCUACCUAGCCUGCAAAGCUAAAAACUCAAGAGAAAACCUUGGUCAUGUAAGCUGCCAAGUACACAAAAUAGAAGGCAAAGCAAGCUAAGAAGUAGAAAGAUGGAUGUUGUUGUUGAUGAGAGCAUAAUGUCUUCAAGGGUCGUCCGCUGCAGUUGAUGAGAGCACUUUUGUGGGAUGAAUGGAUUUUAAUGUAUUAUGAAAGAACUUUAAAGAGAUUUGUGACUUGUAAUAUUUAUGUGCUAAUGUUUGUGAGAUUUAGACUGUUUGUGUGAGACAUCUUAAAUGGUUUUUUGGACAUGUUAUAUAUAUGAUGUUGAUGUCGUUUAAGAAUUUAAGCA